CCACGCGGCCUGCAGUCAGGUGGAGCAUCUGAAAACAGGUCGGCAGUGACAGACAUGUACAGUGAGUGGAGGUAACGCAGCUGUACACUACCAUUAUAAAACCCAGAGGAACGCUGUGGUUGGCUCCGCUGGAAGUCUCGUCUGCUGCCCGGGCAAUUGCUCUGUCCGCAACUGAAACUCACGUUUUAACUGGAGCGCCAACGCAAACCAGACUUAUCCUGCUGCUCGAGACUUCACCCGAUUGUGUUUCUCUGACUGUUUGUCUCAUUUUGCUGUAAUGCUUGUGAUAUUUUCUCCACUUUCUGAGAUCCCUGGUUACUGUGUUUGUGCAUUUUCUAGUUUGUGCUGUUCUUCUCUCAGUUUUUAAUUUAAAUAUUCGUACAUUGUGCCUCAAUACUUGGCUUGAAGUUAAUUAGCAUUCUCAAAACAAUAGAAGUAAAUCUUGAAGGUCA